rnacentral:rRNA from 1 species
AGCGAACGCUGGCGGCAGGCUUAACACAUGCAAGUCGAGCGGGCAUAGCAAUAUGUCAGUGGCAGACGGGUGAGUAACGCGUGGGAACGCACCUUUUGGUUCGGAACAACACAGGGAAACUUGUGCUAAUACCGGAUAAGCCCUUACGGGGAAAGAUUUAUCGCCGAAAGAUCGGCCCGCGUCUGAUUAGCUAGUUGGUAGGGUAAUGGCCUACCAAGGCGACGAUCAGUAGCUGGUCUGAGAGGAUGAUCAGCCACAUUGGGACUGAGACACGGCCCAAACUCCUACGGGAGGCAGCAGUGGGGAAUAUUGGGCAAUGGGCGAAAGCCUGAUCCAGCCAUGCCGCGUGAGUGAUGAAGGCCCUAGGGUUGUAAAGCUCUUUUGUGCGGGAAGAUAAUGACGGUACCGCAAGAAUAAGCCCCGGCUAACUUCGUG